rnacentral:lncRNA from 1 species
AAGGUGAGCGCUGUCAGCCAUGUGGGGUGGGUCCUCAGACCCACAGAGAAGACCAGUACCCAGAGUUGUUUUGUGCAGUAUUUUUCCACUGGUGAUAGCACGCUAGGCGUAUUUUUCUGCAGCUUGCAUUUUUUCAUUAAACAACAGGUCUUGGAAAUCAACUCAUGUUGGUACAUAUGCUAACUGCAGCAUAAUACCCCAAAAUAUGGAUACAAUUAUUCCACGUUCAACAGAAAAAAUAGCCAUGUUUUGUAGGCUGAUCUGUAGUGCUGUACUUAAGGUCCCAAACUACAUUUUCUACUUUAUUUCCCACAAGUCCCUCUGCCACUUCCUGGGAAACUGUACUCAAACCAGAGGAACCAUGUGCAGUUUCCUACAAGGGAGGGGCGGCCUCUCAAUGAAGUAUUAUCUGCACCAUCAGCGCCCAGAGGGCAGUCAUCCCACCUCCUUUAGGUGCCUCUUGCCCAGGCCCUUACCACUUCUGCUGGGCAUCUGAGUAAAUAACGGGUUAUUUUCACUGUCCUUUUUUAGUAGCAAGCUCGGCAGAAGUAUGGGCCAGGGAUGUAGCAGGUGCUCAAAAAACUUUUCUUUUUUUAAAAAAGGAAAAAAGUCUUACGGAUUCUCUAUAAUGCUAUGAGGGGAGGAACAAAAGCUCAAAUAGAAGUUGGACUGUGGAUACAUUUUCCUUCCUUCCAUCUAUCCAUCCACAGUCCAUCCAUCUAUCCAUCUGCCCAUCUGCUCAUUAUCUACCCAUCACCCAUUCAUCCAUCAUUCAUCCAUCCUUCUUUGCUUCCAUAUUUCCUUUUAUGCCUCGUACCCCCCAUUUUUCCUCUUUGAUGACAGCUAUAAAAUAUGUGCCUUUCUGAUCUCUGGCUAUAGUGAGCAUGUUGAUUAGCUUGCAUCGUGAAACUGGGGUGGGUUGAUUCAUGAGAAGCAUGAGACAGUGCCUGCUAUGUAGGUGUUUGGCACCCCCUUGUCCCUUAGGAGGGGGGACAGAGUGGUAACAAUGGCUAAUGUCUGCUGGGGCUCCACUCAGGGCCAUGUCCCAAGGAUGCAGCGUUCCUGGAGUUCCCGCACAAUGGUAGAGGGCCUUCCAUGUUUUACCCUGUUUUAUCCUACUGUGACUGAGGAUAUGGCCAUUCCCACUUCACAGUUAAAGGAAGCAAGUCCAUGCAGAGACCCACAAUUUGCCUGAGGGGCCGCAGUUGGUAUCCAUGUGACCCCAGAUGCUCAGACCUCCAUGAGCAUCUCCAGCCUGAGGCAGGAGAGGCCAAAUGACAGCUGAAGAGUUGACAGAACAAAACUGGUUUCCUGAUUCCCCUCAACUCCAUCUGGCUGCCUCUUGUCUAGGAACAGAGAGCAAGCCGGGUGUAUACUGAAAAUAAGUUGAUUUUUUUUUUUAAACCCGACUAGGCCAUUCAGCAAAGAUGGGCUCCUACUCUCCUUAGAAUCUUCUAGAUUCUGAGAUUCCACAACCUCCUUGAUGACACACUUUCAGUUCUAGACAAGCGUUUAUGGCCUCAAGUUCUAUCUCCCAGUCUAAAAGCUCUCGCUGCAGCUCCUGCUCCCUCUUUCAAAGUAUCAGCUUGAACAGCAGUUUCCCAUCUUGAAGGCUGGGUCCAAGCCUCUGCCUCCCUUACUGCGGAAGCACUCAUCACUCACAUACUGAGGCAGCCAUGGCUGUCCUGAUUCCCUGGAGGAAAGUGAGUGCCGGGGGAGGGGGUGACGGCAAGGUCACAGUGGGGGCUCGAGACGGUGUGCAGGGUAACCUUUCAGAGGCCAAGAUGCAGGCAUUCUGUUCAUCAGCCAAAAAAAAGCAUAUCCAUUGUACACAUAUAUACAAUGGACUACUACUCAGACACAAAAAAGAACAAAACAAUGCCAUUUGCAGCAACAUGGAUGAGAGUAGAGAUUACCAUACCAAGUGAAAUAAGUCAAAUAGAGCAACAAUUUUUUUUUUUUGUCUUUUCAGGGCCGUACCCACAGCAUAUGGAGGUUCCCAGGCUAGGGGUCGAAUGGAACUAUAGCCACUGGCCUACACCACAGGCACAGCAAUGCCAGAUCCGAGCCGCAUCUGCAACCUACACCACAGCUCACAGCAACCUCGGAUCUUUAACCCACUGAGCGAGGCCAGGGAUCAAACCUGCGUCCUCACAGAUGUUAGUCAGAUUUUGUUUCAGCUGAGCUAUGAUGGGAACUCCCGAGAGAGACAAAUAUUAUAUGUGGAAUCUAAAAUAUGAUACAUAUAAAUUUAUUUACAAAACAGAAACAGACUCACAGACAUACAAACAAACUUAUAGUUACCAGAGGGGGAAGGAGAGGGAGGGAUAAAUUGGGAUGAACAGACACACGCUAUUAUAUAUAAAAGAGAUAAACAACAAGGACCUAUAUUCAGUAUCUCAUAAUAACCUAUGAUGGAAAAAAAUCUUAAAAAAAUAUGUAUGUGUAUAUAUACUCAGGUGUACAGCAAAGUGAUAUAUGUGUGUGUAUAUAUAUAUAUAUCUGAAACUAACACAACACUGAAACUAACACAACACGGUAAACCAACCAUACUUCAAUAAAGCUAAAAAAAAGUUUUAACAAAUGGAAUCCAACAAUACAAGAUAAUGUAUCAUUAAAAAGGCACAUUCAUGUAAAGGAAUGACCAGCCCUCUCUGGGCUGUCACCCCCUAGUCUGUUCUGUUCACCUCAUCCCUCUUAGUUUCCCAAGCCUUCCAGGACUGACCCUCCCUCUCAGACAACAGCAGCUGCCUCCUGUGUCUGUCGAUGUUUCCAGGCUGCUGCAGGGAAAUGUCUGGUGUUCCCAUUUCUCGGUUUCCCCCACAUUCACUUUUCGGAAACAAGCUUUUAAAAACACUCCUGCUUAUCAGAUUCUACCAGCCAUUUUUCUGGCCAGUUUCUGGUUUUCUAUAUUUCUACUUGUGUUCUGGAUGUCAGGGACCACCACUGCUCACACGCUCUGCCCUCCUGGGUUCUCCACUUCUGCUCCUUCUAGUUCUCUCUCUGCCUCCUCUGCACACUUGCCCUGUCUCAGAAUUCCGUUCCCAUCUCCAGAGACUCCUGUGUCCAGGCGGCAGCCCCGCCGUGCUCCCGUCUGUGACAACCUGGCCCCAGAUCCAGCUGAGCCUCUAGGCAGUUCUUAAUGGCAUCAAUUUUCAGGGAUGCAGUCAGCAUAUUUUGGCAAACAAGUGCCGGAGAGCCAGCCUGGCAGUUAUUGGGCAGGAACCAGCAGUUUGAAAGGAUUGAAACAGACACAAACAAGACCUAC